CAGAAUUGCGUUAGAAGGCAAACUGUGUGUUUUCAGCCAUUUCCGGUAUUGCUGUUGAACGAGUAAGCAGGCGUUUGCUCGCAGCGUCACCACCUCAUUCGACGUUGGUUUUGGGUGGCAUUACUUUCCCAGGUGAGAUGUUAUGAGCACUCCAGUCCCAACAGCACGGCCCGUGCUCACACAUGUGAGGAAUCGUGAACAGUCGUGAGGUGAAGGGCUGGUGAAAGGGGUCGUGUUACACGAGCGUGUGUCCCAGGCCAACACACAGGCUCGUUAUUCUGGCCUGAGUUGCGUCCUGGGUCAGGGGCAUGAGUCUGGGAAGGUCAGUGUCCACCCGCUACAGUUACAGAAGGCCCGGCUUCCACUUGGCCUCACCGUCCAUUUCACCAGCAGCCAAGACUGUUCAGGAAUGCAGAUCCGCAGACCCCUCCAAUCACUUGCCCCCAUUCUCCACGAGAACCCCAGGGCCUUGCCCUGUACCUGGGGCUCGCCCCCCUUCCUGCCUCCCUGCAGUGCACCCUCCCCCACCACCACAGUCUGCAGCCUCUUCUCUGUUCCCUGCGCUUGUCCAGCCCAGUCCUGCCUCCAGGCCUUUGCACGAACUGUGCCCUUUGUCUGGAACGCUCUCCUGGCGGCCUGUGCCUGGCUGGAAUCUUCUCGGUGUCCCCUCAGCUCAAAGGUCACCUCUCCAGGGAGGCCGGCCCUCCCCUCCCCGUCUAACACGGCCUCGAUUCCCUUUAUCCCAACUCCCCGGUGACCCCCCAUACGGCAGGCUUGCCCCCUUCAUCCACCUUGUUCUUCAUUUACUUGUGCACUGAGUCUCCUGGAGACUUCACCCUCUGAGGGCGAGCACCGGUCUCCCCACUCAAACCUCCAUCCCCGGGGCUCAGAGGAGGCCGUCAAUAAACACUUGCUGGAAGAUGGUGGAUAAAUAAACGAAACAGGCCCGAAUAAACGAAUAAAACCCAAAGUCAAUGUAAAUGAGCUUUCCCAAGAAGUCAUAUUAUUAUGACAGAAAAAGGAAAGAAAAGAGCAAGUCUGUGCGCAGGAAGCUGGGCCGCAGCAUUUCCCUCUGUCCUCCAGGAAGCAGCGGAACUGAGGACGCUGAUUUCACUGCAGAGCGGAGCUGCCUGGACAGCCUCUGUUUCUGUCCGGUCGCUGGAGCCUCG
rnacentral:lncRNA from 1 species